rnacentral:rRNA from 1 species
AAAGAGAACCUGCACACAGGUGCUGCAUGGCUGUCGUCAGCUCGUGUCGUGAGAUGUUGGGUUAAGUCCCGCAACGAGCGCAACCCUUGCCAUCAGUUGCUACGAAAGGGCACUCUGAUGGGACUGCCGGUGACAAACCGGAGGAAGGUGGGGAUGACGUCAAGUCCUCAUGGCCCUUAUAGGUGGGGCUACACACGUCAUACAAUGGCCGGUACAAAGGGCAGCCAACCCGCGAGGGGGGAGCCAAUCCCAUAAAGCCGGUCGUAGUCCGGAUCGCAGUCUGCAACUCGACUGCGUGAAGUCGGAAUCGCUAGUAAUCGUGGAUCAGCAUGUCACGGUGAAUACGUUCCCGGGUCUU